UGACAGCUGGUCCAGGACAGCAGCAGGGAGGCUGGGGACGUUCUUCCGGGCUUUAUGUCAUCAAGGAAAUAUUGCAGGGUUGGUUACAUGGCUUAGUGCAGUGCCAGGCCCUGAAAGCAGCUACAUCCAAGAAGAUUCCCAGUAAUAGCCUCCAAACCAGUGUGAGCUCACCUAUGCAACAGAAUUCAUCCCAGCACCCCUCCCUAGCCAGCCCCCCAGCCCUUCUGGGGCACUCUUGUAUGGCUUUGGGGCAAGGCAAGGCAUGGCAUGGAAAUGCCAUGAGAUACGUUGAUAUGAAUGAGAAAAUGAUCCAAAGAGGAGGGAAAGCCCACUUCUACCCACAGUGAUCUGAACCAAAGGCCCCCGUGAAAGUCAGGGCGUGAGUCACACAGCUGAUUAUUUAUCACCCUCAGGUUAGUCAAGCCAUUACAGUGUGUGGUGGUCUGAAACUAUGAGGUACUUGCUUACUGGAUAGCCAGCCCCAAGCAUUAAGCAUGGCCACCUGCUUUGGAUCCAGUGUGGGGGAGGACAACCACCCUUAGCUAUUAACAGUGCUGCUCACCAGUACAUCUAGUAGAAACCUACUGGCAGCAUAACUCAAUGGUAAUUCACACUGUUCUCAGUCUCCCUGUAGGUGUGGAGAGGUAGGCCAGAGCUCCCUAAAGUGGCACCUGGGACCCUGAAGAGCAGCCUGGAAUUUGCCUGCAUCGCAACCCAAGGUCUGAAGCCUGUGAGGAAAGCGCCAGAUGUGGGGGAAUGCCCUACCUGCAUCCAAGAGGAGCUGCUUCAGCUUGUUGAGGUCUGAAACCAGAGGGCUCUGAAGCAAGUCCUGAAACGAACUGCCAUGGCUACUGGACUCCUUUGGGGCAAUUUGUCCUCUCAGCUCUUCCCUCCUGAGGCCCAUCGCAGGAUCUCAGUAGGUAAUCUGGGUGAUUGUGAAGUAUCUGGCUGAAUACCAACCGGCAUAGAAGAUCCAUAAUUGCUUCCUCGGCUUGAUAGACCAUAUCAGUGUUCCAGGAUUUGCAGUUCCACAUGUUUUUCACCUAUUUUCUGGAACUGCUAAAAUGCUGAUAAUUAUGUCUGACACCCCCACUGAAUCUGCCUAAAACAGUCAAUCCUUGCACAGCUGCUCUACAAUAUACCCAUGCAUUCAAA